CCUGGUCUUGACAUCCACAGAACUUUCCAGAGAUGGAUUGGUGCCUUCGGGAACUGUGAGACAGGUGCUGCAUGGCUGUCGUCAGCUCGUGUUGUGAAAUGUUGGGUUAAGUCCCGCAACGAGCGCAACCCUUAUCCUUUGUUGCCAGCGGUUAGGCCGGGAACUCAAAGGAGACUGCCAGUGAUAAACUGGAGGAAGGUGGGGAUGACGUCAAGUCAUCAUGGCCCUUACGACCAGGGCUACACACGUGCUACAAUGGCGCAUACAAAGAGAAGCGACCUCGCGAGAGCAAGCGGACCUCAUAAAGUGCGUCGUAGUCCGGAUUGGAGUCUGCAACUCGACUCCAUGAAGUCGGAAUCGCUAGUAAUCGUGGAUCAGAAUGCCACGGUGAAUACGUUCCCGGGCCUUGUACACACCGCCCGUCACACCAUGGGAGUGGGUUGCAAAAGAAGUAGGUAGCUUAACCUUCGGGAGGGCGCUUACCACUUUGUGAUUCAUGACUGGGGUGAAGUCGUAACAAGGUAACCGUAGGGGAACCUGCGGUUGGA
rnacentral:rRNA from 1 species